AAAACAGACAGGAGCAGAGGAAAGGUGGAAAGAUGGAGAAGGCAAUGAUGGGGCCAUUCAUUAUUACAAACAUUGAGGGAAAAAGUGUGGAUGUUGUGUCGCAAAAGGGCAAGAUCCACCAGAAGAUCAAUAUGGAUCAAUUACAACGAUGCAUUGACCCAACACCAAGAAUCCCACACAAGUGGAGUGGCCGAUCAGCCUCCACUCCAUCAACCCUUUCUGCUGAUGAAUCCCCAUGUCUUUCUGAGUGGCGGGUGUCCCCAUGUCACACUCCUUCGUUUCAGUCUCCUCCAUCGUACUCUCCAGCACAUGAGGGGCCUUCAACGUCAAUGCACUCUCCAGCACAUGAGGGGCCUUCGACAUCACUGCACUCUCCAGCACAUGAGGUGCCUUCAACAUCACUGCACUCUCCAGCACAUGAGGGACCUUCCACACCACUGCGUUCCCCAGUCCAAGCUGUACAGCCGGACCACACACUCAAAACAACCCUGCAGCCAACAACAUAAGGUGUUUCAAAGCUAGUACAGUGGCUCUGGGAGGGUUUUAUCUUCUCAUAUUGGCUGGACUCUACAUUCGCUUCACUUUGCUGCAGACCAGAUACGAGAUGCUGCAGACCGGAUACGACCAACUGAGCAAAAACAACAGUCAGUUACAGGAUGAAGUAAAGAAGCUGAAGAACAGAACUGAAG